AGAAACGAUAGUGGCGAGAACGGCGGCUGUAACACCCAAAAAUUGGAUUUCAAUUAAUAAGAUUUAAUUUGAUUUAAUUAAGUAUUUUUGUGAGUAUUUAAUUUAGUGAAUAAAUAAUUUUUGUUGAAAAAAUAAAAUUCAUCAUAUGUUCUAACCUUGAUUGUGCAUUCAUGCUGGGGCAUAUUUUAUUUUGUGCUGAGUGACUUUGGUUUGCAGUUAAUUGUGAUCAAAAUUCUAUUUAGAAAAGGCUUUGGAAAAUAAAAUAGAAAAGAAAACAAAGAAGAAAAAGAAAAAAAAGAGAAGCCUCAGCCAGCGCAGCAGCAGCAGAACUGGCCUAGCCCACUCGCGCGGCCCAGCUCGCGGCGCGGCCCAGCGUUCCCCGCGACCCGCGUCCCUCCCCUCCUCUCUUCUCUCCCUGGACCGCUGACACUCGGGACCCGCCUCUGCACCCGCUGACACCCGCCCCCCACACGUCAGUCCCUUCUCCUUCCUCACGUCGGGGCCGAACAUGACUCUUCACCGAACCCGAUUCCUCGGGAUCCCUUGCCAAAUUCACGUGCUAUGCCCCUAUAAAACUCCUAAACCAACCCCGUAGGCCCCCUUUCGCCCCCAAGCUCCAUAAUCCGAGCCCUAGCCGCCGUUAGAACGCAAACCGGAUAUCGCCGAGCUUGUGCUCAAGCCACCAUCAUCGCUCGCCGUCUCUCCUCCUUCUCGGGUUGCGUCAAGGCCCUAGACAGGUUCGCCGUGAGCUUCUCCAUCCCUAGGUGUGUUCCCCAUGUUUUCUAGCGCUCGGAAUCUCGUGUUUGCCAUCUCCGGCGAGCUUCUGGAUGGCGCCCAUGGCGCGUCGCCGUGGGUGGCCUUGUCCCGGUCGGCCGCCGGCCACUGCCUCCCCUGGUG
rnacentral:lncRNA from 1 species